ACGCGAUCAAGGACGAAAAUGCUAGAGUUGACACGUCAGUUUUAUGUCAUUCGGUCACGAACUACACGAAGUUUAAACUUUGAGUUUUGCGGUUCCUUGUCGAUGUAUAUGCUUUGUAUGCUUUAUAUAAACAGGCUUACAAUGAUUUCAAGAUAUUUUUUAGUGGGAAUUAUUGCAAAAUUUAAGCACAAACAAAAUCAUAACAUCACCGUCAGGGAUGCCGGAACCACGGGUGCAGCGGGUGCAAGUGCACCCCUUGCCUUUUCAACUUUGUGGGUGCAGUGCGGGUGCAGACUCAAUGGGUGUAUCGGGUGCACAAAACUUUUACAGCAGACAGAAUUAAACGUCGCUUGAGGAUGUGUGUGGGGGUGUUCCACCCCGCAGUCGUCAGGAAUUCGGCAAAGUUCAGUGUUAUCCAUUUGGCGAAAGGUGAAACGGAAAGCAUUACUUAUGGAAUUUUUAUUGAAGCAUUACGGAGGAAUUGUGCCUAAAUAAUUGUAUUCGGUCCGAAAAAAAUUGAAGACGGGGAGGGAGGUCGACACGAAUGUUGGAUCAUGAAGCCAUUACAUUUUCAUUGGUGCCCUUUUCUUAUGGAGUAUGCCCUUUUGUUAACCAAUUGCACCCCUUGCCCUCAGCAACUUCCGGCAUCCCUGAUCACCGUUCUAGCGCGCGUGUUUUAUACUGACAGCUAUAUUCCAGGAUAAAUUGCAACCACGAGGUUGGAUAAAUUGUUAUUUUUCAAACUUUAAAAGUUAUUCACGACACAUAUUUCUGUUGUGAUGGUUUGUAUUGUGCUUGUAUCUAA